UACGAAGGGGGCUAGCGUUGCUCGGAAUCACUGGGCGUAAAGCGCACGUAGGCGGUUUCUUAAGUCAGGGGUGAAAUCCUGGAGCUCAACUCCAGAACUGCCUUUGAUACUGGGAGACUUGGAGUCCGGGAGAGGUGAGUGGAACUGCGAGUGUAGAGGUGAAAUUCGUAGAUAUUCCGCAAGAACACCAGUGGCGAAGGCGGCUCACUGGCCCGGUACUGACGCUGAGGUGCGAAAGCGUGGGGAGCAAACAGGG
rnacentral:rRNA from 1 species